GAUCAACGCUGGCGGCGUGCCUAAUACAUGCAAGUCGAGCGAACAGACGAGGAGCUUGCUCCUCUGACGUUAGCGGCGGACGGGUGAGUAACACGUGGAUAACCUACCUAUAAGACUGGGAUAACUUCGGGAAACCGGAGCUAAUACCGGAUAAUAUAUUGAACCGCAUGGUUCAAUAGUGAAAGACGGUUUUGCUGUCACUUAUAGAUGGAUCCGCGCCGCAUUAGCUAGUUGGUAAGGUAACAGCUUACCAAGGCAACGAUGCGUAGCCGACCUGAGAGGGUGAUCGGCCACACUGGAACUGAGACACGGUCCAGACUCCUACGGGAGGCAGCAGUAGGGAAUCUUCCGCAAUGGGCGAAAGCCUGACGGAGCAACGCCGCGUGAGUGAUGAAGGUCUUCGGAUCGUAAAACUCUGUUAUUAGGGAAGAACAAAUGUGUAAGUAACUAUGCACGUCUUGACGGUACCUAAUCAGAAAGCCACGGCUAACUACGUG
rnacentral:rRNA from 1 species